GAUGAACGCCGGCGGUGUGCCUAAUACAUGCAAGUCGUACGCACUGGCCCAACUGAUUGAUGGUGCUUGCACCUGAUUGACGAUGGAUCACCAGUGAGUGGCGGACGGGUGAGUAACACGUAGGUAACCUGCCCCGGAGCGGGGGAUAACAGUUGGAAACGACUGCUAAUACCGCAUAACAUUCCCGAGUCACAUGGCGUGGGAAUCAAAGGAGCAAUCCGCUGAAAGAUGGGCUCGCGUCCGAUUAGCCAGUUGGCGGGGUAACGGCCCACCAAAGCGACGAUCAGUAGCCGGUCUGAGAGGAUGAACGGCCACAUUGGGACUGAGAUACGGCCCAG
rnacentral:rRNA from 1 species